GAUCCUAAUGGCCUUGUAGCACCUAACUGGAAAUCUGUGCUUCUGUCACCUUGGCAGGGAUGGGACGACAAUAAGGACCCCAAAACUUGAGCCUUCUGGUUCUGGCUGUGUCUGCACUGGACGGUGUUGGAGAUCCCUCUUUUGGUUCCUUUUCCUAGACCUCUUCCAGAUUAAUCCUCCUUCUGCUAACCCGUUCUUCGCAGUAUAUGUCAGAACCAUUGCUUUGAAGCUGGCAGAUGGCUGCUCAUCCAGGAAGACAGUCUUCGAGGGAGAACAAAAGCAGCUCAUCUACUGACCUCUGGAUUUGUCACCUUGGACCAACCACUGUGUAUCCGGCUUGAUUCUGCAGGGCCUUUUAGCUCACCUCUCUGAAUCUUUUAUUCUGGGACACUUCACGUAGGGCACUCAUGA